rnacentral:rRNA from 1 species
UACGGGGGGAGCAAGCGUUGUUCGGAUUUACUGGGCGUAAAGGGCGCGUAGGCGGCCGUCCAAGUCGGGUGUGAAAUCCCUCGGCUCAACCGAGGAACUGCACUCGAUACUGGUCGGCUAGAGUCCGGGAGGGGAUGGUGGAAUUCCCAGUGGUAGCGGUGAAAUGCGUAGAUAUUGGGAAGAACACCGGUGGCGAAGGCGGCCAUCUGGACCGGAACUGACGCUGAGGCGCGAAAGCCAGGGGAGCGAAUGGG